AUUACUGACUAAACUUUAAAAAUGUUGUAGCUUUAUGUUAUUAAAGGUAAAGUUUAAUCAGUAAUACUUUUAUAACAACUUUAUGUCGGAUCAUGAUUUGUUGGUUUAUGUCAAGUUGUCAUAAUGAAGACAUUUUGAAUAAUGUCAACUUUGUAUUAAAAGUGUCAUGAUUUACAGAAUGACACUUUAUGACAACAGUCAUAAAUAUUCAUGAAGACUUACUCAUGUUCAUGUUAUGUCGUGUUUAUGACGGUGUAAUGACAGUGUUAUUCACAACCCGUCAAAUAAAGUCUUACAAAACUUUUUAGCA